GCCGGAGCCUUGCUCUGUAACCUUCGGGGGCUUUCACCAGCUGAACAGGGAGCUGUCUGGACCAGCAUAGGGUGCUUGCGGCGUUGACGUGGUGCUCUGCUUGGCUGUGUGUCGGAGGCCUCCGGGUGCCCCCUUGCAGAAGGGGCGCGCCCCCUCCGUUAAAGUAGAGGAACUGGGUCAGGCCGGCAACGGAGCAGCCCACCUCGCGCACGUCUGCCGUUGCAGAACCACACCGCGGAGCCUGUCAUCACCUGCGCCCCAGGCGAUCCUGUGAAGCUUU
rnacentral:SRP_RNA from 12 species